CAGCCGCCGCGGGAAUACGAAGGGUGCAAGCGUUACUCGGAAUUACUGGGCGUAAAGCGUGCGUAGGUGGUGGUUUAAGUCCGUUGUGAAAGCCCUGGGCUCAACCUGGGAAUUGCAGUGGAUACUGGAUCACUAGAGUGUGGUAGAGGAUAGUGGAAUUUCCGGUGUAGCAGUGAAAUGCGUAGAGAUCGGAAGGAACAUCUGUGGCGAAGGCGACUAUCUGGGCCAACACUGACACUGAGGCACGAAAGCGUGGGGAGCAAACAGGAUUAGAUACCCGCGUAGUCCCUGUCUCUUAUAC
rnacentral:rRNA from 1 species